GGACUACCGGGGUAUCUAAUCCCGUUCGCUCCCCUGGCUUUCGCACCUCAGCGUCAGACACGAGCCAGGACACUGCCUUCGCCUUGGUGUUCCUCCGGAUCUCUACGCAUGUCACUGCUCCACCCGGAAUUCCAUGUCCCUCUCUCGCUCUCAAGUCCACCAGUUUUCGCAAUCGUUCCCCGGUUAAGCCGGGGAGUGUCACUGCGAACUUGGCGAACCGCCUGCGUGCGCUUUACGCCCAAUAAUUCUGGAUAACGCUCGCCCCCUACGUAUUACCGCGGCUGCUGGCAC
rnacentral:rRNA from 1 species